CAGUCGCCGCGGUAAGACGUAGGAUGCGAGCGUUGUCCGGAUUUAUUGGGCGUAAAGAGUUCGUAGGUGGUUUGUUAAGUCUGAUGUUAAAGACUGAGGCUCAACCUCGGAAAUGCAUUGGAUACUGGCAGACUUGAGUGUAGUAGAGGCAAGCGGAAUUCCAGGUGUAGCGGUGAAAUGCGUAGAUAUCUGGAAGAACACCAGUGGCGUAAGCGGCUUGCUGGGCUAUAACUGACACUGAGGAACGAAAGCCAGGGUAGCGAAUGGGAUUAGAUACCCCCGUAGUCCCUGUCUCUUAUAC
rnacentral:rRNA from 1 species